AUUGAACGCUGGCGGCAGGCCUAACACAUGCAAGUCGAGCGGAGCGGCGGACGGGUGAGUAAUGCCUAGGAAUCUGCCUGGUAGUGGGGGAUAAAGUCCGGCAACGGGCGCUAAUACCGCAUACUCUCAGAUGAGCCUAGGUGGGUUUAGCUAGUUGGUGGGGUAAAGGCCUACCAAGGCGACGAUCCGUACCUGGUCUGAGAGGAUGAUUAGUCACACUGGAACUGAGACACGGCCCAGACUCCUACGGGAGGCAGCAGUGGGGAAUAUUGGACAAUGGGCGCAAGCCUGAUCCAGCCAUACCGCGUGGAUGAAGAAGGCCUUCGGGUUGUAAAGUCCUUUUGUUGGGGAGGCGGUACCCAAAGAAUAAGCACCGGCUAACUUCGUGCCAGCAGCCGCGGUAAUAC
rnacentral:rRNA from 1 species